AGAGUUUGAUUCUGGCUCAGAGCGAACGUUGGCGAUGCGUCUUAAGCAUGCAAGUCGAGCGGGCUUAUUCGGGCAACUGGAUAAGUUAGCGGCGAACUGGUGAGUAACACGUAGGUAAUCUGCCGUAGAGUGGGGGAUAACCCAUGGAAACAUGGACUAAUACCGCAUAUACUCUUGACGCUAAAGCGUAGUAGAGGAAAGGAGCAAUCCGCUUUACGAUGAGCCUGCGGCCUAUUAGCCUGUUGGUGAGAUAAAAGCCCACCAAAGCUACGAUAGGUAGCCGACCUGAGAGGGUGACCGGCCACAUUGGGACUGAGAUACGGCCCAGACUCCUACGGGAGGCAGCAGCUGAGAAUCUUCCACAAUGGACGAAAGUCUGAUGGAGCGACAUCGCGUGAGGGAUGAAGGCCUUCGGGUUGUAAACCUUGGAAAUUAUCGAAGAAUGAGUGACAGUAGAUAAUGUAAGCCUCGGCUAACUACGUGCCAGCAGCCGCGGUAAUACGUAGGAGGCAAACGUUGCUCGGAUUUACUGGGCGUAAAGGGUGAGUAGGCGGAACUAUAAGUCUAAGGUGAAAUAUCGAAGCUCAACUUCGGAAACGCCUCGGAUACUGUGGUUCUUGGAUAUUGUAGGGGAUGAUGGAAUUCUCGGUGUAGCGGUGGAAUGUAUAGAUAUCGAGAAGAACACCUAUAGCGAAGGCAGUCAUCUGGGCAUUUAUCGACGCUGAAUCACGAAAGCUGGGGGAGCAAACAGGCUUAGAUACCCUGGUAGUCCCAGCCGUAAACGUUGCACACUAGGUGCUCCUAUUAAAAUAGGCGUGCCGUAGCUAACGUCUUAAGUGUGCCGCCUGAGGAGUAUGCCCGCAAGGGUGAAACUCAAAGAAAUUGACGGGUCCCCGCACAAGUGGUGGAGCAUGUGGUUUAAUUCGAUGAUACGCGAAAAACCUUACCUGGGUUUGAAUUGUUAGAUGAAUGAUAUAGAGAUAUGGCAGACCGCAAGGACAUUUAACAUAGGUGCUGCAUGGCUGUCGUCAGCUCGUGUCGUGAGAUGUUGGGUUAAGUCCCGCAACGAGCGCAACCCUUACCCUUUGUUGCUACCGAGUAAUGUCGGGCACUCUUAGGG
rnacentral:rRNA from 1 species